CAAAAGCUGAAAGGGCACACCUUAUAGUGUAUAUUGAAACCAUGAUUAAAUAUUUUAUUUUUCUUCUCAUUCUACAAUCCUGCCAGAUAAUUAAAUCAUAUUCUAAACCAGUUAUUAGAAGACUUCCUGGAUAUCUUGAAGAUCUUCCUUUCAAAUUAGAAACCGGCUGCCAACUAAAUCACCAGGAUAAGCAAUUGCAUCAUCUCCUCUAUAACAGUCAGAGUUGGAUGCAUACCCGAGCCACUAGCUCUGGGGAACCCGUUCGCCCGAAGGCCUAUCACGGUAAAACCUGGUUCAACUCGGUUUCGAACUGGCGACCUCCGAAGAGACCUAUUGCUAAACUUCAUUGCCACCACCAAUAUCCUUUAAAGUGAUGCUAAUGGGAGUUGAACUUAGGAGCUCAAAGAAAGAAACAAAUGACUAACUACUAGACCAACUUGUCAGGACUAGUGGUCUUCUUAUAACAAAUUGGGAAAACUUCACACAAUGAUAGUCAAAUUUUUCAUUUGUUUCACUAAAGUCA